GCCGGCUCGGAUCCAACCCAACCUUGCCAAGGUUGGGGUCGAGGGUUCGAAUCCCUUCGCCCGCUCCA
rnacentral:tRNA from 1 species